AUUGAACGCUGGCGGCAGGCUUAACACAUGCAAGUCGAGCGGGUCAUAUACGACGGGUAACCGGAGUGUAUGGCUAGUGGCGAACGGGUGAGUAAUGCAUGAGAACGUAUCCUCAAGAGGGGGACAACAUUGGGAAACCGAUGCUAAUACCCCAUAAGCCGGGAGGUAAAAGGAGCAAUCCGCUUGAGGAGCGGCUCAUGUCCUAGCAGCUGGUUGGUGAGGUAACGGCUCCCCAAGGCGAAGCCGGGGAGCCGGCCUGAGAGGGGGAACGGCCACACUGGAACUGAGAGACGGUCCAGACUCCUACGGGAGGCAGCAGUGGGGAAUAUUGGGCAAUGGGGGAAACCCUGACCCAGCGACGCCGCGUGAGGGAAGAAGGCCUUAGGGUCGUAAACCUCUGUUGUGUGGGAAGAAGAGCGUGACGGUACCACACGAGGAAGUCCCGGCUAACUACGUGCCAGCCGCCGCUGUAA
rnacentral:rRNA from 1 species